GUACAGCCUAAAUACGUUACUCUUCGACAAUGAAGAUGGUUUCAUUGUAGAUAGCACAUUAGGAUUUGUCACAUAUACAGCCUAAAUAUGUAAGACUCCUAUACCAUGAAAGAUGCUUCCAUUGCAGAUAGCACAUUAGGAUAAGUCACAUAUACAGCCUAAAUAUGUAAGACUCCUAUACCAUGAAAGAUGCUUCCAUCGCAGAUGCACAUUAGGAUAAGUCACAUAUUAUACAGCCUAAAUAUGUGACACUCCUAUAAC